UCCACUACUCAGUUGGGAGAGUACAAAACUCUAAACCUUGUGGACGUGGGUUCAAGCCCCAUGGUGGAG
rnacentral:tRNA from 1 species